GACGAACGCUGGCGGCGUGCCUAAUACAUGCAAGUAGAACGCUGAAGGAGGAGCUUGCUUCUCUGGAUGAGUUGCGAACGGGUGAGUAACGCGUAGGUAACCUGCCUGGUAGCGGGGGAUAACUAUUGGAAACGAUAGCUAAUACCGCAUAAUAGUAGAUGUUGCAUGACAUUUGCCUAAAAGGUGCAAUUGCAUCACUACCAGAUGGACCUGCGUUGUAUUAGCUAGUUGGUGGGGUAACGGCUCACCAAGGCGACGAUACAUAGCCGACCUGAGAGGGUGAUCGGCCACACUGGGACUGAGACACGGCCCAGACUCCUACGGGAGGCAGCAGUAGGGAAUCUUCGGCAAUGGACGGAAGUCUGACCGAGCAACGCCGCGUGAGUGAAGAAGGUUUUCGGAUCGUAAAGCUCUGUUGUAAGAGAAGAACGAGUGUGAGAGUGGAAAGUUCACACUGUGACGGUAUCUUACCAGAAAGGGACGGAUAACUACGUG
rnacentral:rRNA from 1 species